AAAGAUACCAAAAGGAUUGGAUAUUUUCACCAAAUCUCCAAAUGUGAUUAUUGAACUGACGUUAAUUUAUUGUUUCGUUAUCAUUUAAUUAGUGAUCUAUUGUUAAUCUUUAUUAUUGAUGGGCUAAUUAAGGUAUUUCUUAAUUACAGGUGAACAAUUAUUACUUAGCUUUUAAAAGUACUAACCCAUUUUUAACAUCAAAAUGAACGUUGCAGUUUCCUUGUCAUUGUUUUGUCUAUUGGGAUCUAUUAAGGUGUUGGUCAAUCAAUCUUAAUUUUGAUUGUUUCCUACACUAAUACUGUAGAUUUAAUUGUGACCUUUUCGUAUUUUAACUAAUUGUUAACCAGAUGAAUUAUAUUAGUUGGAAUAAUCUGAUGUUGUUUAUUAGACUUCACUAGAAAAGUGGAAAUGAUUAACCAUAAUUAAUAUGCUCUAUCACAAUUUGGACUCACCAUGACAAGGCUACUUCCGGGAUCCCUGUUGUACUUUAUAAGCUCUAGUUGAUUAUUGGAGGGAAAGGCCCAAAGAAAUUGAUACUCAGUCAAGUAUCAACCGAGUGUUAAGCUUAUUGGAUCAUCGAAAGCUUUAAAUUUCUAAUGGCUCAGUUUCCCCCUGACCCUGAGUGACCAUUACAAAUUUCUUGUCACCAUAUCAACAACAACAACAACAACCAGACAAGAGUAUCGGUUAUCAAAUUCAGUCCAGUGAUCAAGUUAACCAUUUUCAAUGAGAUUCAAUUUUGAAGGAGUCACUUGGAUGGGUGAAAAUUUCUGAGUCAAACCUGAUUCUGAUUAACUUACUUAUCAAGCCUCUCCUAAAGUUAAUCAUGGAAAUCAAUGGUUGAAUCAAAAUAGGAACACACUAAUAAACAAACAGAAUCACUUGGAAUGACCAGAAAACUUGAGCCAAUCUCUCUACUUGAUAUACACCCUGUAUGACGAUUUCCAUGUGAAGGACAACGAUUAAAGCGAAAAUCUCUCAAAAGGAAUGGAUUUAGAAUACAAAUUAAUAAUCUAAUCCUUUCAAUCCACAACCUUGGCUUGUAAAUCCAACCGAUUAAAUCUGUAUACUGUUAACUCGUUUUAACAGUUAAUUCUCUUAAUCCAGUAAUUAAGUGUAAAUCUCAAGACAAUUUAAUUUGUGAUCUGUUGAUGUUCAGAAGGAGGAAACGGAAAAUAAUUAACACCAAUUGAAAAGCAUUGAUUCGGGAAAAAAAGCAAACAAUUGAAGACGUAAAGGGAAAAUUGAUGAUAAUAGAAAACAUUGAUUCGUAUUAAUCAACAAUCUAAUUUAAUCUCUCAUCAUCAUCAUCAUCAAUUUCAUUUUGAUCUAAUAACAUUUUCUUCAUCUUUCAUGUCCUAAUUUUCUAGGAUAAUCUCUUAAUUCUUGUAAUCUAAUGUUGUUGUAAUAGAUGAACAUUCAAUUUUAGAUUAUCUUUUUUAGAUUAAUGUUUAAUUGUUUCCCAAAACAGUUAUAAUCAAAUUGAGUUGAUGAUGAUUAUGAUAACUGUAUUUUUACGGUGUCAAUGAGAAAUGAAAUUUUUCUCAUCAUCUUGAUGAUGAUGAUGAUGAUGAUGAUCACCAUCAUAACUUUAUAUUAAGGUAACUGUUAAAUUAAAUCACAUUCAAAUGAAGAUGAUGGUUUAAUAACAGUUGAUUGAAUUUUCUGUUGAUUAAAGUUAAAAAUAAAUCAACAAGUUAUCAUGUUGAUAAUAAGUUGGUAGUAAAUCAAAAAUGAUAAUAAUUAUUAUUAUAUUAUGAUUAUGAUGAUGAUCUUGAUUUAUUUGAAUAUAUAUCGAUAAUCAUAUUAAUUACCACUAAUCGAGGAUAUUUUGUCAUUAAAUUGUUUUAGUUAAAUUGUAUUUGCAUUUAGCGUAUUCAUUGGAUAACCCAAACAACUGAAAAACUGAUUAAAGGGAUUUUGGAAUCAAUAACUUGUUCAUUAAGUGGAUUACAUCAUUAAAGAUAUUGCAGUUGAUCAUGAUGAUUAUAAUUACGAUGAUGGUGAUAAUAAAUUAACUAAAGAAUCUGAUUUUAAUUCAGUUUACACCUCGAAGCUAUUAACGUGACUCAAAGUCAAAUAUUAGACAUUCAUAAUCAAUACAUGAUCGUGUUUGAAUAACAAUUAAAACGAAAAGUAUAUUUCAUAGUUUCUUUAACGAGUCACAAUUAACUGAUUACUGGAAUUGGUAAAUUAAGUCUUUCUUUUUUUAAUUUACUUAUCACCAUCGAUAUUGAUUAACUCAAGAUUAUUUCUGUAAUCCACUGGAAGUACAAUGUAAUUACUUAGUUAAUUGUUCUUGGUAUUCAAAUGAUAAUCCAACUUUGAUUGUUGAAGUAAAACAACUUUUCGUAUUUACAACAAUUUACUAAUCAUUAACAUACCGAUCAUCAUCAUUAACUUUAUACUUUAUACUUUCAAUCUUAAUUUAAUGUGUAACAUAAAUUGUUGUUUUUUUCAUUGUUCACAGCAAUCAAAGUAAUGGUUAAACAAUUAUCAAAGGAAAUGAUGAUCAAGUGAUUUGCCGUAAAUUGUUUGAAAUCAUCAAACUAAAUCAACUCUUCAAGGUCCUCAAACCAUCAUAAACAUUGAAAACAAAAUCACAUUAAUUGUAAUUAACAUGGGAUCAAAAAUGUUGAAGGAAAAGGAAAGUAAUCACAAUUAAAAGAGCAAUCAAAAAGAUUUAGUUUAACAAUCAACAAUCAACAUCUUAAUCAUGAUGAUGGUUAAAAUUUUCAUCAUGUCUCUAAAUUGUAGUUGCUUUUUUUUGUGGUUAAAUCGUUGGUAACAAUUAGUUUUAUUCAUGAUCUUUAAAUAACUUUAGCUUCUAAUUUUAAUUGUGAUUAUAAUCAGUAUCAUAUUGUUUCAGUUGUAAACAAAAUCACUAUUUAAUUAACAAUCAUUUAAUUUGAUUCAACUCUAACAAGCUAAUUUUCAUGAAGAAAAAUUAACAAACAAUCAACAACAACAAAAGUUAAGAAAGAAAUUAAUUUUUCUGAUUAAUCAAACCCACUGAUUCUUUAAUUUAGGUUGAUUUGAUUACGAAAAUUUUUCUUCUUCAUUUACAAUGAUUAACUUAAUUGUUGGUUUUAACAAUUAACCACAACAACACCAAGUACAUUGAUCCUACAAUUGAAAAUUGUUCACAGUUUUCAUUUAAAUUAGUGAAUCAAUUUCAAUUAUUUAAGAUUAAUCAUUAAUGAUUAAUAUUAAGAGGAUUAAACUUGAACAAUUAAUCAAUCAACAUUGAUUAAGAUGAGAUUAUUGUAAUCUAAUCUCAAAUAUAAGGUCAAAUUUAAGUUAAUUGUUAUCACUAAAUAUUUAUUAUGAUUAACUGUUGGUCAGUUUGCUGUCGGACAAUCAAUCAAAUUGUGUGCAGUUAAACAUAAUCAUGAUUAAGGAGGGACACAAAGAAGACAUUUAAUUGUUGAUUAACAUUGACAAUCAACUAAACAUGAUCCAGAUCAACAAACAACAACAAUUUAAAUUGUAAAGGAAAAAAUUGAAAUGAUGAAAAUAAUUUAGGUCAUCUUAAUGGUCAGUUUACAAUUUAAGUUAAUUGUUGUUGAUUAUUUGUUUAUUUGCUUUGUUUCAAUUAAAUUGUUAUUAUUAAUUUUUUCAUUUAAUGACAAAUGUA